rnacentral:tRNA from 2 species
GGACAGGUGUCCGAGCGGUCUAAGGAGACGGUCUUGAAAACCGUUGGGCGUAAGCCCCGCGAGUUCGAAUCUCGCCCUGUCCG